GACGAACGCUGGCGGCGUGCUUAACACAUGCAAGUCGAACGGAAAGGCCCUGCUUGCAGGGUACUCGAGUGGCGAACGGGUGAGUAACACGUGGGUGAUCUGCCCUGCACUUCGGGAUAAGCCUGGGAAACUGGGUCUAAUACCGGAUAGGAGCCAUUUUUAGUGUGAUGGUUGGAAAGUUUUUUCGGUGUAGGAUGAGCUCGCGGCCUAUCAGCUUGUUGGUGGGGUAAUGGCCUACCAAGGCGGCUACGGGUAGCCGGCCUGAGAGGGUGGACGGCCACAUUGGGACUGAGAUACGGCCCAGACUCCUACGGGAGGCAGAAGUGGGGAAUAUUGCACAAUGGGCGCAAGCCUGAUGCAGCGACGCCGCGUGGGGGAUGACGGCCUUCGGGUUGUAAACUCCUUUCGCUAGGGACGAAGCUUUUUGUGACGGUACCUAGAUAAGAAGCACCGGCUAACUACGUG
rnacentral:rRNA from 1 species